GUUUGUGUGUCACUUUUGGUUUUGGUCUCUCCUCCUCCUUCUGAACAAUUCCACCUUUUUUUUUUAUCAGAUGCAACUCCCCACUGUGAGCAUUUUUGACAGAUAAAGACUUCUCCCGACUUGCUGAGGUUGCUUUUAGUUCAGCUGCUGAUGACACAGUGAGAAACUUCAUGAGGGAGGAAGGGAAAAAAAGAGGCGGAUUAUUUGAAGGAAAAAUAGUUGGACAGAAAGAAUGGUGGAGGAUCAGUGGAAGGGGAAAUAGGAAGACAGGAGGUAAGUGAAUUGUAGAGGCAAACCUGUGAUACAAAAGGCAGAACAAGAACUAGAGGGGAGUUGGAAAUUGAAGAAACACUACCUCCCUUCUCUCUGCCAGGUCAUGACACAGAGAGAAAGAUGGAGUGGUGCCAGCGCCAAAAUACUGGCAGCAGAUAAUGAGAGGAGCAUGGAUGUAGAAAUGUCUCCCCCCUUCCUUGUCCUCUUCCUCCCAUCCUGUCUGCCAAGGCUGGGUGGUAAAAGCCUUUUUAUCUCGUUCAUCAUCAUGGUGGAUCGUCCACUAAUCAGAAGGUUGCCCGUUCCAUCCCCUGCUCAUCCCGCUGCAAGUCCAAGUGCAUUGUUCCAGAUGCUGUGCAUUGGUGUUUGAAUGUGAAUGACUGAAUUAGUUUCUGUUUGUGAUGGAUUUUGCAAUCCCUGUAUGAAUGUAGUGUAAAAGUGCUUUAAGCGGUCGAAAGACUGCACAGGCACUAUACAAGUACAGUCCAUUUACCAUUCAUACUUAUUUCUAGAUCUAUGUUUCUUGCUUUUUUUUGGAGUCUUUGAAUGCCAUUUGGAGCCAUCAGGGUUGAUUUUCAGAAUAAACUGAAUGAACUGAUUUUUUC
rnacentral:lncRNA from 1 species